AUUGAACGCUGGCGGCAUGCCUUACACAUGCAAGUCGAACGGCAGCACGGGAGCAAUCCUGGUGGCGAGUGGCGAACGGGUGAGUAAUAUAUCGGAACGUGCCCAGUCGUGGGGAUAACGUAGCGAAAGCUACGCUAAUACCGCAUACGAUCUAUGGAUGAAAGCGGGGGAUCGCAAGACCUCGCGCGAUUGGAGCGGCCGAUAUCAGAUUAGGUAGUUGGUGAGGUAAAGGCUCACCAAGCCGACGAUCUGUAGCUGGUCUGAGAGGACGACCAGCCACACUGGGACUGAGACACGGCCCAGACUCCUACGGAGGCAGCAGUGGGGAAUUUUGGACAAUGGGCGCAAGCCUGAUCCAGCAAUGCCGCGUGCAGGAUGAAGGCCUUCGGGUUGGUUAAACGUAGGU
rnacentral:rRNA from 1 species